ACACCUACUGUAACGCCUCACGGCUACGGUUCAUGCCUCACCCAAGGACGCGCCUAUCCCCCAGUUGUUAUCGGUACAAUAAUUUAUGAAGAUAUCUCAUGUGACGUGAUUGAAAUUUCAAGGUGCAUAUUAUCUUAUUAAGUUAGAGGCGUGUUUUGUGGUGUGGGUGAGGCCGUCUCGCCACGUGUAUCGGUGAGGAUGCAAGAGGAAUGUCUGGACUUCGACGACGUCUUACCUCAUGUUGGAGAGUUCGGCAAGUACCAGUGGCUGCUGUUCCUAGGCCUGGCACCCUUCUGCCUCAACGUGGUGUUCAUCUACUUCGUGCAGUUCUUUAUCACCAUCCCGCCCGAACACUGGUGCGCCGUUCCUCAACUCCAGGAGGCUAACAUAACCCUUGAACUUCGACGACAGCUCAGCAUUCCUGUCACCUUCGACUCCCAGGGCAAGGAGAAGUGGAAUAGCUGUCAGAUGUACGAUGUAGACUACAGUAAACUGCUGCGGGAGGGCGUGACGUCAGCCAACGCCUCCUGGCCAGUGCGGGACUGCCAGACGUGGGAGUACGAUAUGUCUUCCAUAAGAUACUUUCACACUAUUGUCUCGGAGUAUUCGUGGGUGUGUGACCGGGAGUGGUAUGGCACCCUGGCACAGUCUGUGUUCUUCCUGGGUGCCAUAUUUGGUGGUCUUCUUAGUGGCUGGGCGGCUGACAGGUACGGGCGUGUACCGGUGUUGGUGGCGACUAACUUUGUUGGGGCGGCCACCUCCCUGCUGACGGCCCUGUCCACCUCUCUGGGGGACUUCCUUCUCUACAGGUUUCUCGCCGGGUUUGCCUUCGACAAUAUCUUCGUCAUGAUGUACGUCUUAGUGCUGGAGUACGUGGGACCCAGGCGGAGGACCCUGAUAGCCAACAUGUCCAUCGCGUUGUUCUUCACGGCGGGCACGGUGGCGCUGCCCUGGCUGGCGGUAGCGGCGGGGAACUGGCGCCUCUUCACCGCACUCUCCUGCACACCUAUGAUUUUCGGCUGCUUCGCCUUCUGGGUCCUGCCUGAGAGUGCCCGCUGGCUCCUCUCCCAAAGCCGUGUAGAGGAGACGAUAGAGAUCCUUAAGAAGAUCGCCAAGGUGAACGGACGCACCAUCCCUGACCAGGUGCUGCAUGACCUCCAGAAAAGCUCCCAGUUGGAGCUGGAGGAGACUCCCAUGGUGGAGCAGUCUUCUGCCUCACUACUCGACCUCUUCAGAACCCCGAGACUCCGCCGCAUCACUUUCGCUAUCUGUGUGGUCUGGAUGCUGCUGAGCAUGGUGUACGAUGGACACGCUCGUAACGUGUCCAACCUUCAGCUGGACGUGUUCGUAACGUUUACUAUUGCCUCGGCGACGGAGUUGCCAGCGGACAGUUUCCUGGUACUGACGCUGGACAGGUGGGGGCGGCGCUGGCUGGCCUGUGGCACCCUCAUCCUCUCCGGCAUCCUCAGCAUCCUCACCAUUGCUUUCGCAGGUAACGUGGUGGCGGUGGCGGUGCUGGCUAUGCUGGGGCGGCUGCUGGUCAACAUCGCAUAUAACAUUGGGCUGCAGUACGCAGCAGAGUUGUUGCCGACUGUGGUGCGUGCACAGGGAGUCGCCGCCGUCCACAUUACUGGCUACAUUGCUACUAUACUGUCUCCCGUCAUCGUUUAUCUGGGUACGAUCAAUCCCUUGGUCCCGCUGGUGGUGCUGGGGGUGGCGUCAGUGAUCGGAGGGCUGGUGGCGCUGCUGUUGCCAGAGACCCUACACAGGGACCUGCCUCAGACCCUCGCUGACGGUGAAAACUUCGGCAAGGACCAGGCCUUCUUCUACUUCCCCUGCAUCGAAAAGGAUAAAAAAUCCAGCCAGCCGCUGACACUGGGGGAGAUCGGCCAACAGCCGUCCUUCAUCAGGCACCGACCACGGCUGAGGGCGUCCCUCCGUGGGGAGACCUACAGGUCUACCCUCAUCAGGCACCGUAAGGAAGUCCUCUAUAUCCCUAUGGCUGACUGACACCACUACCACCACCACCACCACCAUCACCACCACCACCACCACCACCACCAGGAAGGUCUUCUACGCACCUGUGGUUGACUGCCACCAUUAUCAGGAAGGUCUUAUAUAUGCACACCUGUGGUUGACUGACACCACUGCCACUACCACCAAGAAGGUCUUAUACUCACCUGUGGUUGACACCACUACAACCAUUAUCAGGAAGGUCUUAUACUCACCUGUGGUUGACACCACUACAACCAUCAUCAGGAAGGUCUUAUACUCACCUGUGGUUGACACCACUACAACCACCAUCAGGAAGGUCUUAUACUCACCUGUGGUUGACACCACUACAACCAUCAUCAGGAAGGUCUUAUACUCACCUGUGGUUGACUGACACCACCAGCAGACAGCAGGAGGGACAAGAGUGAGGACUUAUCAUGGUCAGAAAGCGUCAGACGUGAGGGCGACUUCAUGACCCUUUCCAACAACAUUUUAUAUUGUCAUUGAACUAGACACUAACUUCAGAAUACUGUACAAAGUUGUCCGAACUCGAAAUAAUUAUUAUAUGAAUUUUGGUAGUAUCACAUUGUGAUUUAGAUAUAUAUAUAAUACUUUAUUAACUCUGUUGGUUCUCCUUUGCUCCUUAAGACAUAUUAAGUACGGUAUUACAAUUGUCGUGAACUUAAGACAUACUGAGUCAUACAAUUGUCGUGAACAUAAGACAUACUGAGUCUUACAACUGUCGUGAACUUGAGACACACUAAGUGUUACAACUGUCGUGAACUUGAGACACACUAAGUGUUACAACUGUCGUGAACUUGAGACACACUAAGUGUUACAACUGUCGUGAACUUGAGACACACUAAGUGUUACAACUGUCGUGAACUUGAGACACACUAAGUGUUACAACUGUCGUGAACUUGAGACACACUAAGUGUUACAACUGUCGUGAACUUGAGACACACUAAGUGUUACAACUGUCGUGAACUUGAGACACACUAAGUGUUACAACUGUCGUGAACUUGAGACACAACAAGUGUUACAACUGUCGUGAACUUGAGACACACUAAGUGUUACAACUGUCGUGAACUUGAGACACACUAAGUGUUACAACUGUCGUGAACUUGAGACACACUAAGUGUUACAACUGUCGUGAACUUGAGACACACUAAGUGUUACAACUGUUGUGAACUUGAGACACACUAAGUGUUACAACUGUCGUGAACUUGAGACACACUAAGUGUUACAACUGUCGUGAACUUGAGGCACACUAAGUGUUACAACUGUCGUGAACUUGAGACACACUAAGUGUUACAACUGUUGUGAACUUGAGACACACUAAGUGUUACAACUGUCGUGAACUUGAGACACACUAAGUGUUACAACUGUUGUGAACUUAAGACACACUUAGUGUUGUAAUACAGUGCAGUAUAGCCGCCCACGAAGUUUGGUUGAAACUGCCCUAACCUUAGGUGGUCAACUAAGUACAAUAUUUACUGGGGAAUAGUGAUAACUUUCGCUUAUGAAACUUUAUUAAGAUCAAUAAAUAAUAAUAAAGUCUCAUAGAGUAGAGUCAGAUUUUCCAGUGAGCUGUGAUCUUGAUCUUUGUCUGGUGGUGACCGGAGAACAAAAGUGCCUAGUCUAGGACAAGGCGGACGGCCGCCUGUGAAAUUUUCGUUAAGAUGGGUGGAAAUGUGGUCGCUCGAUUGGGAAUAAAACACAGACACGCUAGAAAAUGUACUUCCAAAUCCUUGGUUUCAUAAUAAACGCAGAGAACCAACAAAUUCUAAACACUGUA
rnacentral:misc_RNA from 1 species